rnacentral:misc_RNA from 1 species
CGAAGACCUUGACUGGGCUGCACGAUCAGCCAUACCAGAAGACGCCGACACCAACUGCGCGGAUCACGGACUCGGUCAUCGCUCUCAGAUUUCAAGACGACAUCCCCCGAAACCACACUAAGCGAUGCGGCACGCUGAGACAAACGCCCCUCGGCGGCAGCCGUUCCACAUCACAGGAGCACGGAUACCAAGCUCACAAGACAGCAAGAGACCACCCUCGCCCAGUUUUCACAACGGGCACCUGCUCGUAAUUAGGAUUCCUGCAACGACCGGUGACUGGUAGUGGCCGCAUGGGGUGCAGCGCAUGUGGUGCCUGCUAGCGGAGAAGAAGUGUGGUGCCCCCGCUCCCCCCCUCCACACCACCAGAGUCUUCGCCCCCCCCCUGCGCGCUUGCUCCACGAGGGCGUCUGACCCGGCGAUGCGCCUGAUAUCGUAUGCGGGGCUCGCCUAUCGAUGGACGCUCACAGCAGCCCGUGUUUCACGCCAUGGACUUGCACGCGGUGAUGUGGGCACACAUGUCUCGCUUGCGCUGCACGGGCUUCCACUGCCGGGUGUCUGCCGCUGUCCUCUGUGCCCCUCAGCACGACGAGCCAUGAGCGCUGUGUGCGCAGACGCAUGUAUGUGUGCGGAUACCGGGGAAGGCGAAGCGCCGCUGCCGCCACAGACUCAGGGCAGCGCCCCGCCUGUCGCGGCAGAUGCGGGCAAGGUAUCCAGGCACGCCCCCGGGCAACAACGCCGCCAUGAGGCAGGCACCGUGAUGCGGAAGUGCGAGCAGUGUGCGCCGGCGCUGUCAAGCACCGCUGGCAUGGUGUGUCUGAUGCGAGCAAAGCAUCCAGGGGCCGGCCGAGCACGGGCGAUGGGGGGAGGGGAAGAAGGCGCAUGCAGGGCCAUGCCGAUGCCCCCUCUCCCGCAGUGCAUGUGUGCGGAGCAUGCGGCGUCUCCUGCAUCCGACCGAGUGGGCUGAUGCGGCGCGGACGCCGGGAGGCAUGACGAGGGCACCCGGGACGGCACCACCGAGCCAUCGGGUGUGCACUGCGGAGAGCCGCCACGCCACAUUACGGGAUGCCGCGGUUGGAGCGGACUGGGGGGCGGGCGGGCGAAGCACGGCAUGCAGGCAGUGUGUGCCGGGCCUCAGAAGGACCCUGACCCCUGAGGCUUUCGAGGCUCCUCCUUGCGUUCGUGCGGCACGCACCUGGACCGCCCACCCACCACGUGCACGACAGGCGCCGAUCGCGCAGCGGGCACAGGAAGAGUAGGCGAUGAAGGGCAGGGCGAGCGUGCUGGACGCAUGGCGCGAUUCGACGAGCGGGAGAGCCACGUCCCAGGCGACGAGCAUUUAGCCCGAGUGCGACAGAGUUAGGUGAGCGGUGGCUGCAUGCCGAUGCUUGUCGACAUGUUCGUGUUGGGCCGACACACGCCGACAAGGAGGAAGCGUUUCUCCACACCCUCCGCAUCUUGAUUUGUAUUCUGUGUUUUAAUGUGUCGUUGCUGCCUGCAUGCGCGCUUGUGUCUGCCUCACUUUCUUGUUAUCUGUUAUUUUCUGGAAAUCAAUUUUUUUUCUCAUCUCGACGCGUGUCGGCGGUGCUCUUUUGGAGAACUGGUUUCUUUUCUACUUUUUUUUCUAGCCCAUCGCAUUUGUGUGUGUGUGUGCUCGGAUCCUCGGUCUUUUAUGUGCAAUGUCGCACGCUGUCUCUCGCUCGCUAGCGAGAUUUCGGUGUUUUUUUUUUUGCUACCCUUUUUUGCAGUAUCUUAUGUUACUGGUCUUAUACAAACGCCGCAGAACAUAAAAGGGAGCAUGGGAAGGGGUCUGAGGGAGCACAAGGGCUUACAUGAGCACCCGUCACUCUUGGACAAUGUGCAUGCAUGCGUGCACAGCUGUUCCGCGCUGCGAUUCCAUCUCUUCUCUCGCUCCCUUGACGCUGCAAUUGUGUGUGUACGUACUUCCGUUGCUUCUCACUUCUUUUGCUGUCCUGUUCGUUGCCGAUGUGUUGUGCUGGCAUCGCCUCUUUGCCUUCCCUGCUUUCUCUCGCUCUCAGCAUUCCUGAGUGUUCUUGGCCUGCUGUAGGGCAUAUGUUGGCAAACACAAGUUGAUUGAACUGUGUAUGGUCCAGGUGCAUGCAGAUGUGUGUGGCGGUGCCCUCGUGCGUGUCUGUACGCCGAAGAUUUUCAUCUGGACGUACGCCCAAAGUCCAUGUGCUCAGCGUGUGAUUGUGUCUGUUUCUCUGCCGCGCAGGUUUGUUUUUCAUCGUCCGCUUCUUUAGAGGUGCACGCGAAUUGUUCGCGCUUUUUCGUUUCGUCGCCUUCGCUUCCUUCACCGUCUCGACAUUGUGCUCUCGAUCUCCCUCUGCCCGCCCUCGGUCUGUCAGGCGUGGAGAACAGCACGGUCCAAGUUGCUGGUGUGUGGGGACCUUGGAGAACCCGAAAGAUGCACAGACACGCACGGGCGCGCGCACGCCGUCAUCGAUGACCUCCUUGUGGCACCCAAACACUUGCUUGCGUAUCGUGUAUGCGCUGGUGCACGCGCAUCACCUUGCAGCGAAAGAUAAAAAAGAAAAUUCAUUGUGCGCGAAUUGAGGGCGGGGGAAGACUUUGACGAUGUAGGUGAG